CCGGGGUUCAUGCCAUUCUCCUGCCUCAGCCUCCCGGUAGCUAGGACUACAGGCACCCACCACCACGCACUGCUAAUAUUUUGUAUUUUUAGUAGAGACGGGGUUUCACAGUGUUAGCCAGGAUGGUCUGUAGUUUCUCUUUUUUUAUAGCUAAGUAUUACAGAAUACAGUUAUCAUCUGAGGACCAGGCUAUCAGAAAACAAGGAACCAUAUCCAGCCCUGAUGGAAGGACUGAGCAUCAUGUGGAGAUCCUGAACUCUGAUGAAGAUGUCGUGAUUGGGUGUGACUUUGAGUUGUCUUCAUAGGCUGCGGCAGCAACAAGGCGCCCUCUUGGAAGCAGAGCAACCUUCACUGGACAAUGAGCCUUCUGGUAUCUUGGACUUCUCAGCCUUCAGAACUGACUGAUGCUGGGAAGUAUUCCCCCGCCCCGAGACAGAGUCUUGAUCUGUUGCCCACGCUGGAGUACAGUGGCGCGAUCCUCGGCUCACUGCAACCUCUGCCUCCUGGGUUCAAGCAAUUCUCCUCCCUCAGCCUCCCAAGUAGCUAAGAUUACAGGCACCAGCCACCAUGCUCUGCUAAUUUUUGUAUUUUUAGUAGAGACGGGGUUUCACCACAUUGGCUGUGCUGGUCUUGAACUCCUGAUCUCGUGAUUCGCCCACCUGAGCCACCCAAAGUGCUGGGAUUACAGGAGUGAGCCACUGCCCGCAGCCGCUGAGAAGUAUUAAAAAGGGCAAAGGAAGAGCAGAUCUUCUAUAGGAUACCUUUAUUUCUACAAAAGUGACUCCAGGCAAAACCUUCCAAAGCCUUCAACUACAGAAAAUCAAAUGGAACAAAAGCCCUAACAGGAAUUUCAAAGAAAACAAACACUUAGAGAUACCCAUUGUUCCUCUGGACAUCGACACUGGCAUAUGCCUUAAAUACAGAAUGGAAUGCCUGCAGUACAAUAAUGAGUAUUUUCUACCGCAGGCUUUCCAAAGUUUCCCAUGGAAGUACCUCUAUCAGCAGAGAAACGGGAGUGUUGAUUCUUUUCCUACCACCAAUCUCUA
rnacentral:lncRNA from 1 species